GUAGGGGGCAAGCGUUGUCCGGAUUCAUUGGGGCGUAAAGCGCGUGUAGGCGGUUCAAUAGGUCCGAUGUGAAAACUCGAGGGCUCAACUUCGAGAGGCCAUCGGAAACCAUUGGACUAGAGUCCGGAAGAGGAGAGUGGAAUUCCUGGUGUAGCGGUGAAAUGCGCAGAUAUCAGGAAGAACACCGAUGGCGAAGGCAGCUCUCUGGGACGGUACUGACGCUGAGACGCGAAAGCGUGGGGAGCGAACAGGAUUAGAUACCCUGGUAGUCCACGCCGUAAACGAUGGGCACUAGGUGUGGGUGGUGUCGACUCCAUCCGUGCCGCAGCUAACGCAUUAAGUGCCCCGCCUGGGGAGUACGGCCGCAAGGCUA
rnacentral:rRNA from 1 species